UAGGUGACCUGCGGAAGGAUCAUUG
rnacentral:rRNA from 1 species